UUGUGGGGAGUGUUGAAAAUCGAAGAGGUUGUGUGUGUAAGUCUGUGUGAGUCCAAAAAAAGCAUUUAAAUGAAAUUCAAAUCGAGAACAAAGUGAUUGAUUCUUUGACCUUCAAUACACCUUUUGUCACGUUCAAGAAUUGUUAAGAAACUAGUACGCAUGCGCUAAAAAAUUGAAGCAUGCGCACUAAUUGCUAAAUGCGCGUUACUACAUUCAAGCGAGAGGGAAUGUGGCACUUUCGCCCCUGAAAACAGGGAGCAAAAACGAACUUUCGAUCCAUGUGACAGAAAAUAAAAUAUGAUUGUUACAUCGCUUCUUCUUUGAGGAUUUCACUAGCAAUUGUCUUUAAAUCAGAAUCAAUUUUUUGACGGC